rnacentral:rRNA from 1 species
CCUACGGGGCGCAGCAGUGGGGAAUUUUGGACAAUGGGCGCAAGCCUGAUCCAGCCAUUCCGCGUGAGUGAAGAAGGCCUUCGGGUUGUAAAGCUCUUUCGCAAGGGAAGAAAACUUACCUUUUAAUAGAGGGUGAGGUUGACGGUACCUUGAUAAGAAGCACCGGCUAACUACGUGCCAGCAGCCGCGGUAAUACGUAGGGUGCGAGCGUUAAUCGGAAUUACUGGGCGUAAAGCGUGCGCAGGCGGUUUUGUAAGUCAGAUGUGAAAGCCCCGGGCUCAACCUGGGAACUGCGUUUGAAACUACAAGGCUAGAGUAUGGGAGAGGGGGGUAGAAUUCCACGUGUAGCAUUGAAAUGCGUAGAGAUGUGGAGGAAUACCAAUGGCGAAGGCAGCCCCCUGGCCUAAUACUGACGCUCAUGCACGAAAGCGUGGGGAGCA